GGGAUUGCCUCAGUAACGGCGAGUGAAGCGGCAACAGCUCAAAUUUGAAAUCUGGCCCCUUCGGGGUCCGAGUUGUAAUUUGUAGAGAGUGUUUCGGGUGAGACCACGGUCUAAGUCCAUUGGAACAUGGCGUCAUAGAGGGUGAGAAUCCCGUAUGUGACUGUGGCUCGAACCCAUGUGAAGCCUCUUCGACGAGUCGAGUUGUUUGGGAAUGCAGCUCAAAAUGGGUGGUAAAUUUCAUCUAAAGCUAAAUAUUGGCUGGAGACCGAUAGCGCACAAGUAGAGUGAUCGAAAGAUGAAAAGCACUUUGGAAAGAGAGUCAAACAGUACGUGAAAUUGUUGAAAGGGAAGCGCUUGCAACCAGACCUGUCCGUAGGUGAUCAGCCGCUGUUCUCAGUGGUGCACUCGCUCUGCGAUCAGGCCAGCAUCGGUUUCGGCGGCCGGAUAAAGGCCUUGGGAAUGUAGCUUCCCUUCGGGGGAGUCUUAUAGCCCUCGGUGCAAUGCGGCCAGCCGGGACCGAGGACCGCGCUUCGGCUAGGAUGCUGGCGUAAUGGUUGUAA
rnacentral:rRNA from 1 species